AGGAAAGCCUUUGGUAAAGGAGAAUGGGGAAUUAGGAAGUUUAUAAGAGAUAAUUGUUCCUGCUUGGUAGAAGUGACAUGGAAUCUUGGGAGGAAGGAGUUUGCUCAAGUUUACCCAGGGUGUUAGCCAAGACUGUGGAAGAGGCUGAGCUGAAGGCAGACGUUGGCCUGGUUAUUGUCUUUACAGAUCUGUGCUGACAUCAGGGUGCUGGAACUGACAGGUCCCCUGAGAUCUGACAUGCGCUCUUAUGAGUAGGUCGUUCUUGCUGCUUAGAAAGUGCCAGGAGCAGCCUUUUUCAGACCAGGAAAGUGAGACACAGGCAGGUGACUUGCUCAACAUCACCCAGAUAGUCAAGGAAGAAGUGUGACAAGAAAGGAGCAGUGUCUGUGAGGUCACAGAGGCCCUGGCUGGUCACGGAGGAAAACGUGGUUUGCAUCCUGCCCCAUGUCUGGAACUCAAUAGGUCCCACACCCCGAAGGCUGGCCUUGGACUCUCUAUUUUCCUGCCUCUGACGCCCAGGUGCUGGGAUUACAAGCACGCACCACCAUGUCCAUCUCUGUGAAGACAUUUCUUAAGGGACCGCUAUGGUCUCCCAGGAAAGAAGCAGGGGGUCUAGAAGGAGACUCAGAGACUACGUGGGAGCUUACGGCUGAGGUGCCUGGACAUGUGUGGAUGGAGUGUGGAUUAAUGAGAGAGACAUGAAAUGGCUUUUCUAAUCUUCAUUGCAAGAAGAAGCAUGCUAUUGACCCCUGGCGACCAACCUUCCCCCACCCCAGUGCUGGGGACUGAACUCAGAAGCCAGGUCUGAGCAAGCACUCCUCCACUGAGCCACACUCUGGCCCUUGCUCUCUCCUCUCCAAGGGGAGAGUUAAUGACUGGCUGGAGUCUUGUUGAAAACACAUGAAUGCCAUGCUCAGCUUUCCUGUGAGUUAUCAUCACAAAGACUGAGAGAACAGGAAUGAAAAUCACUUGCUUAUUGCCACUCGACGGUGCCAGAAUGCCACCUGACAGUGCCACAGUGCCACCAGAUGGUGCCAGAAUGCCACCUGAUGGUACCACAGUGCCACCUCAAAGUGCCAUAGCAGCAUCGAUUCCAGACCCCUUCCCCCACAUAUCCAACACCGAUGUUUUGAGGACAUCCCAAGCCCAUAGCACCAGAGUCUCUCACCUUGGGGUGGCAGUGUCCAGUGGCAGAGUCUCUGACACCCAAGUGAAGCGAGUUCUCUCACCUGUUCUGCAGCCUGAGUCCUCCCAAGGCUUUGAACAUCUUGGUGUUUGCUUGGGUCUGACCUCCUGGGGGCCAGCAGGGGUGCUCAGGGGGAAACUCCCUUGUGGUUCCCUUCACAGGGUUGGGUCUCUGUGCUAACAUUUGCUCUCAUUUGGUCACCAGGUCAUCCAGGAGAAAGAGACAACCAGGAGUUCAGCCCUUGACAAAGUUUUGUGUGUUGACAGAAAUGUGCUCAGUCAGUUUCUUGUUCUGGCUGUCUGCUGGAGAGCACUUCAUAAUCCCCCAUCAGGGUGGCAUGGAGCGUCACCAUGGCUGAACCAUCACCACCCAAUCAUUACUACCCAACCAACAACAACAACUCUGCCGCCAUAGCCCUCAUUGGAUCCACAGAUGGCGAAUAACCAGCCUAGGGUUAGUACAGAGGUUGGAACCUCAUGCCUGCUCAGCAUGGACUCCACCACUGACACCUUUGCUGCUCACAAAGCUCCAUGACUUCAGAGACACGGAGUCUCCGUGUCACUUGGAGACAGAGUUUUGAAGGACAGCAGAAUACUGCUGGGUACCGGCUCCAUAAGGGUCUCUUGGACUCCAGAUGGCUCAGUGGCUAACCUGAGUUUGAUCAGCCAUGAUGGGGGUGGAAAUGGCCCCAGGUGUCAGGCUUCUUGCUGGAUGUGGAGUCAGGGAUGCUGUGUGGGUGGGCUUGGAACUCAAGCCUGGAGGGCAAGGAAGCCACAGGGGAAACUGCCCCCUGCCACUCAAGGCCCCAACUUUUGACAGCCAAUGGGUCCAGUCUGGAAAAAAGCAGAUAGCCACCUGCCACGUGGACCUGCUGUAAUGUUUGACAGCUCUGGAUGGAGCUCUCAGAGGUGAAGUCCCGGCUCAUGUGGCUGUAAACCUUGGGAACUUGCUCCUGCCUUGGCCUCUGAACAGUUUGCAGCCACUAGAGGUGGAAGCGCCUAGCACUUCAGAGACCUGCUGCCCAGGAAGCCUGAGGAAGCCAAUUAGCCGCAGACUUGCCUGGCAAGGGAAGGCUCUUGGUUGGCAUCUGAUGCCCAGAGAACUUUGAGCUGUGGCAUUUUCAAAGCAGUAACCUCUCAUCAGCUACAGAGAGUUCAACUCGGUUCAUUUCAGUCCCUCACAGCAACCUAAGUUGUUUUACCAGUUUGAAGGUUGUUACCCCUGAAUCGGCAAUAAAAGCAUCUCAUAUUUGUA